rnacentral:misc_RNA from 1 species
UGGCACAGAACCACUACCAAAACGCUGAAAAGAACAGGAUAUUAUAAAGUAUACAACAAAAUCACAAGUAAGAAUCUAAGAAAAAAAGAUAUAAUAUGUAUUUUGACUCAGGGGUCAGCAUCAAAGAUCAGUAAGCAUUGCUCAGCCAACAUUUCUGUAAGGAUGGCUGAUCAAUUGCAUUUGACUAGAGCAAAUACAGAAAUGUAAACUUGAAAAUUAGAAAGAAAAGGAAGCCAACACACACAUAUCAUAUUUAUGAUCAAGGAUGUACUUGUAAACCAAAGUAAUUGAUGAAUCCAUGCCUUCCUAAUGAAUCUGCA